rnacentral:rRNA from 1 species
GCUUGCUCUUAUGAAGUUAGCGGCGGACGGGUGAGUAACACGUGGGUAACCUGCCCAUAAGACUGGGAUAACUCCGGGAAACCGGGGCUAAUACCGGAUAACAUUUUGAACCGCAUGGUUCGAAAUUGAAAGGCGGCUUCGGCUGUCACUUAUGGAUGGACCCGCGUCGCAUUAGCUAGUUGGUGAGGUAACGGCUCACCAAGGCAACGAUGCGUAGCCGACCUGAGAGGGUGAUCGGCCACACUGGGACUGAGACACGGCCCAGACUCCUACGGGAGGCAGCAGUAGGGAAUCUUCCGCAAUGGACGAAAGUCUGACGGAGCAACGCCGCGUGAGUGAUGAAGGCUUUCGGGUCGUAAAACUCUGUUGUUAGGGAAGAACAAGUGCUAGUUGAAUAAGCUGGCACCUUGACGGUACCUAACCAGAAAGCCACGGCUAACUACGUGCCAGCAGCCGCGGUAAUACGUAGGUGGCAAGCGUUAUCCGGAAUUAUUGGGCGUAAAGCGCGCGCAGGUGGUUUCUUAAGUCUGAUGUGAAAGCCCACGGCUCAACCGUGGAGGGUCAUUGGAAACUGGGAGACUUGAGUGCAGAAGAGGAAAGUGGAAUUCCAUGUGUAGCGGUGAAAUGCGUAGAGAUAUGGAGGAACACCAGUGGCGAAGGCGACUUUCUGGUCUGUAACUGACACUGAGGCGCGAAAGCGUGGGGAGCAAACAGGAUUAGAUACCCUGGUAGUCCACGCCGUAAACGAUGAGUGCUAAGUGUUAGAGGGUUUCCGCCCUUUAGUGCUGAAGUUAACGCAUUAAGCACUCCGCCUGGGGAGUACCGCCGCAAGCUGAAACUCAAAGGAAUUGACGGGGGCCCGCACAAGCGGUGGAGCAUGUGGGUUAAUUCGAAGCAACGCGAAGAACCUUACCGGUUCUGGCAUCCUCUGACACCCUAGAGAUUAGGGCUUCUCCUUUGGGAGCAGAGUGACAGGUGGUGCAUGGUUGUCGUCAGCUCGUGUUGUGAGAUGUUUGGGUAAGUCCCGCAACGAGCGCCACCCCUGAUUUUUGUUGCCCUCAUUUAGUUGGGCACUUUAAGGUGGACUCCGGUGGCAAACCCGAAGAAAGUUGGGAUGACGGCAAAUCAUCCUGCCCCUUAUGACCUGGGGUACACACGUGGUUCAAUUGACCGGACAAAAAACUGCAAGGCCCCCAAGUGGAGGUAAUUUUAAAAAACCGGUUUCAGUUUCGAUUGUUUGCUGCAAAUUGCCUACCAGAAGCCUGAAUCGGUUGGAAUUGCGGAUCAGCAUUCCCCGGUGAAUACGUUCCCCGGCCUUGGACACAACGGCCGGCACAACACGAGAGGUUGGAACACCCGAAAUCCGUUGGGGAACCUUUUUGGAGCCAGCCGCCUAAGGUGGGACAG